rnacentral:rRNA from 1 species
GGCAGCACAGGGGUAGCUUGCUCCCCGGGUGGCGAGUGGCGGACGGGUGAGGAAUACAUCGGAAUCUGCCUAUACGUGGGGGAUAACCUCGGGAAACCGGGACUAAUACCGCAUACGACCUACGGGUGAAAGCCGGGGACCUUCGGGCCUGGCGCGGAUAGAUGAGCCGAUGUCGGAUUAGCUAGUUGGAGGGGUAAUGGCCCACCAAGGCGACGAUCCGUAGCUGGUCUGAGAGGAUGAUCAGCCACACUGGAACUGAGACACGGUCCAGACUCCUACGGGAGGCAGCAGUGGGGAAUAUUGGACAAUGGGCGAAAGCCUGAUCCAGCCAUGCCGCGUGAGUGAAGAAGGCCUUCGGGUUGUAAAGCUCUUUUGUUGGGAAAGAAAAGCAGCCGGCUAAUACCCGGUUGUUCUGACGGUACCCAAAGAAUAAGCACCGGCUAACUUCGUGCCAGCAGCCGCGGUAAUACGAAGGGUGCAAGCGUUACUCGGAAUUACUGGGCGUAAAGCGUGCGUAGUGGUUCGUUAAGUCUGAUGUGAAAGCCCUGGGCUCAACCUGGGAAUUGCACUGGAUACUGGCGGGCUAGAGUGCGGUAGAGGA